rnacentral:rRNA from 1 species
AUUGAACGCUGGCGGCAGGCCUAGCACAUGCGAGUCGAGCGGAUGACGGGAGCUUGCUCCUUGAUUCAGCGGCGGACGGGUGAGUAAUGCCUAGGAAUCUGCCUGGUAGUGGGGGACAACGUUUCGAAAGGAACGCUAAUACCGCAUACGUCCUACGGGAGAAAGCAGGGGACCUUCGGGCCUUGCGCUAUCAGAUGAGCCUAGGUCGGAUUAGCUAGUUGGGUAGGUAAUGGCUCACCAAGGCGACGAUCCGUAACUGGUCUGAGAGGAUGAUCAGUCACACUGGCACUGAGACACGGUCCAGACUCCUACGGGAGGCAGCAGUGGGGAAUAUUGGACAAUGGGCGAAAGCCUGAUCCAGCCAUGCCGCGUGUGUGAAGAAGGUCUUCGGAUUGUAAAGCACUUUAAGUUGGGAGGAAGGGCAGUAAGCUAAUACCUUGCUGUUUUGACGUUACCGACAGAAUAAGCACCGGCUAACUCUGUGCCAGCAGCCGCGGUAACAC